AUUCAUUCAGAGUUUCAAUAAAAUCUAUGUUAUCUUUAUUGUUCCAACGACUUUAUUAGAUUUGAUCCUACAAUGUUGUUUGAAAGUGAAUUCGAAAGAAUGAAUGUUUCGCGAACGUAAGAAUAUUCGAAACGCACACGUUGAACGGCUAUAACAUGAAGAUUCGAAUCCCUGAAGGUAUUCACGAACCUGAAUUCUUCCAUUUCUCUUCUCCCUUCGUCCCACCUUCUUGGCUUCUCUCUUUCAUGUCUACCCUUUUGCGAUUCGCAUCCUCUUACUUGCUCCGCCGUCUGCAUUCUGGAAUGUGGUUGUUCCACUCCAUAGCGAUACUACUACCGCCUACAUACUUACUACGAAGCCAGUCUUACGCUACGAUACCUUUGUGAUGUAAGAAACGUCUAGUAAAAUUUACGCGUUUCCAAAGAUCGCUCAUAUAAUCGAGAAGUGCUCUCUCGGCUUCAUUUACUUCGUUAUGCGUUUAUCUUUUUAUUUGGAUUUAGUGAAAUUACUUUUAUUUUCCAUUAACAAGACGUUAUCACAGGGAGACCUUUUAAAGGCUCGUUAAAGAAUGAUCCGCCCUCCGAACGGUGUUGUUAACGGUGAUGAACAGUGAGCGUGUAAUAAAGAGCGUAACAUUAUCUCAUUAUACAAAAGAAUGAGCAACGAGUGGACUAAGUAUGUGUGUGUAUGUGUAUGUACGUGUACAUGUACGAUCCGAGUUCUGGCAAGACGAUUUUUGAUGAGUAAUUACGAUAUUCGAGUAUAUACCGUUACGUUCAUAUCCAUUUUCCAUCGCUUAUGGUCGCUCAUUUGCAGCAUAGGACCAUGCAUGAAAAUUGGAACCGUGUCGAUCGGAAGUGGAGCUUCGAAUUAUCGGUUGUACGAGAAACAACUUGAAAGAAAUGUGGAUCUGCAUCGUAUGUUAGUUAAAUAGGUAAAGUUGGCCGAUCGUGAUUGAGAUUGACGAACAUAUCAAUAUCUCCUUCAUAGAAGUUAAGCUCUUAUGAUAGAUUUUAAUGUAAAAUUAUAGUUUUGAUGUCAAAUUUAAAAAAAAGAAAAGG